rnacentral:misc_RNA from 1 species
UUGAAGUAUUUAUGUUUGUUUCAGAGUUGACUUGUUUAAAAAUAGAGUUUUUGUGUAAUCCCAUCGGCGAGCGCUCGAGAGUCCUCGCUAGAGAGAACCAAAGGCAGCCGGAGCCGCUGGCCCGCCGAGGCAACGUGGUUUGUAAACAAUGGGUUGGAGAGGACGGGACCCCGAAGGGCAACCCGAAUACUCGAUAAUGAUCCUUCCGCAGGUUCACCUACGGAAA